UACGGAGGGGGCUAGCGUUGUUCGGAAUUACUGGGCGUAAAGCGCGCGUAGGCGGCUUUGUAAGUUAGGGGUGAAAUCCUGGAGCUCAACUCCAGAACUGCCUUUGAUACUGAGAAGCUUGAGUCCGGGAGAGGUGAGUGGAACUGCGAGUGUAGAGGUGAAAUUCGUAGAUAUUCGCAAGAACACCAGUGGCGAAGGCGGCUCACUGGCCCGGUACUGACGCUGAGGUGCGAAAGCGUGGGGAGCAAACAGG
rnacentral:rRNA from 1 species